UUUUCUUUAGCUUAAAUUAAAGCGUUAGCUUGAAGUACUAAGUAUAGCUGUGUGCUAGGAUGGA
rnacentral:tRNA from 1 species